CCUAAACAGACAGACCGAAGGGAACGAGUGGCCGGAGGCUAACUCGGAGGGACGCACAGAAGUGAUGAUGAGAGGAGAAGCCCCUAGGCGGCGAGAGGAAGGCUAGCACUAACCUAUGUUGGUCUGAGGGACCUGGGGAACGAGAGACAGGAGGCGCCUACGACUCGAGAAGACGCUCACUAGAGCAGGGCUCUCGAAGAGAAGACGGACACCAGCGAAAACUCAGAAAUGGAGUGGGACGCCUGAAGGAGGG
rnacentral:lncRNA from 1 species